rnacentral:rRNA from 1 species
GACAGAGGGUGCAAACGUUGUUCGGAAUUACUGGGCGUAAAGGGUUCGUAGGUGGCCAACUAAGUCAGACGUGAAAUCCCUCAGCUCAACUGGGGAACUGCGUCUGAUACUGGUCGGCUUGAGUGCAGGAGAGGAACGCGGAAUUCCAGGUGUAGCGGUGAAAUGCGUAGAUAUCUGGAGGAACACCGGUGGCGAAGGCGGCGUUCUGGACUGCAACUGACACUGAGGAACGAAAGCCAGGGGAGCAAACGGG